rnacentral:lncRNA from 1 species
AAAAACUUAUUAAUCAAAAACCGAACCGAAUCGAACGGUUCGAUUUUUGUGCGGUUUUUUUACAUCUAAAAAACCGAAUGAGUAAUAUAAUAAAAAUAGUAAAACUAGUCGGUUCGGUUUUCGAUUUUAAAAAAAAAAAAUGAACCGGAUAUCAAAUAAACCGAAUGUCAAAUAACAAUCCCUAAAAUCUGAAGUCUAAACUAAACAAGGCUGAACUCGUGACCUUCACCCACAACACCUUCAGCCGUUGGAAUCUCGUCCCCGCUGUUCAUCGCCACUGCUCGUCAGUCGUCACCGCUGCUCGUUGCUGCUGUCACGGUACUCCCCUGCUACCAUUAUUUGUCUGAAUAUAGUGGGCUCACCGCAAAGAUUCUUUUGUUUUUGUCAACAAAAUCUCUCAGCAGAACAAAAAAUUGAACGAAAAAGGUUCCAUUUUUCGUUUCGGUUUUAUGAAUUUGGUUUAAAGUUCAUUUCUUUUUCCUCGUUCCCAUGUUUUUGUUAAUGUGCUUGAGUUAUGUAAAUAUCGCUGCCGUUUUUGUCUGGUUUGUUAUGUUUUUGCAGAGAAUAAAAAUCAAUAACUUGAGCUGCUGCUGAUUGUUUCGUGUUUUGUUUCGUAAUUUGUUGAGGUUCACUUGAGAUGUUAUAUUUAGUUAUACCCAUGACUACUAAUUUGUAUGCCAAAAUUGAUUUUUGAUUUCUGAUUCAUUCUUUUGUUUUUUCUUUUCCCCCAUUUGGGUGAGAUAUGGUUUGUUUCUUUGAUUGAAAGAUGAUUGAAUGAUUGGUUUUUUCAGUUUUUUUAGUUUCUUUUCCCAAAUCGCAAACUGGAUACUGUUGAGAUUGAUCAUGAUUUUUAUAUCUUAGAGCUGUGUUUGAAAAUGUUCUCUAUAGUGUGCGGUGAAUUGCUGGAUUCACUGAUAUUUUCCAGAGCACGUAAAGCAGUUUCAUAAC